rnacentral:lncRNA from 1 species
AACCAAGGAAGAGGACCAACAGGAGGAACAGGAACAAGCUCAGCUAAGAUGGUUACUGCAGUUCAAGGAGGUCAAGAUCGUCGACUUAAGUCACCAUUCCUGACCAAAAAGGACGACCCAGGUAUACCAAGCAUCCAGUGCUCCAUUAAUGGAUACAACUUCCAGAAGACGCUUUGUGACACCGGGUCAAGUGUCAACAUAAUGGCCGCAGUCACCUAUCAGCUCCUGUUUGGAACCAUGCCCCUAAAAUCGACAUACAUUCAGCUCCAGAUGGCAGAUCAGGCAUUCCGAAAGGUUGAAGGUAUAGUAACUGAUGUCCCUGUCAAAAUAGACGAUCAUUUUGUCCAUACAAAUUUUCAGGUUAUUGACAUGGGAAAAGACGGAUCCACCCAUCAUCCUUAGGAGACCGUUCCUCAGCACCGUUAAAGCAAUCAUCUACAUUGGAACCGGAGAAGUCCAUAUGCACUUCCCCUCUGAGAAGGUACGCCGCUAUUUUACUGACCCUAACUAUAUAGUUGAAGACUCUAAGUAGGCCAGGACAAGAAGAAGACAACGCAACUGCAACCAGAGGAGGCAAAUCAUCAAGGACGGAUGGGCAGACUACGAAGGAGAAGUGGUAAGGUCUGAAGACAUACAGCUUGAACAGAACUGUCCUGAGGAGACCGUAGCACCGAGUCAGGUGUGGAGAGAGAAGAUAGUUAUACACGAAGAGGAGGCGCCGCCAGAACCACCGACUACGCCAUCCAGCGAAUCCCACGACGACUCAGAAAACGGAGAGUCCCGUUCAGAGGACUUAAAAACACCGAACGCCUUGCCAAGAGGUAAACUUGGUAGUUAUCCUUUUCCUUUCAAUUAUUUAAAAUAUUUUGCUUAGUUAAUCAGGUUCAUAUCAUCUUGAAAAGAAAAUAAAAAUGUUAAAAAUAGUAAGCCCCAUGUGAGUAUGCUCAUGGCAUAAAACCCAUAAGUACAUUCACUGUGGUGGCAUAAAAAUAAAAUAAAUAUAUUUAUGUGCUAUAAAAAUGAAAAUAUAAAAAUAAAUUUAUGAUCCUACCAAAGAGUGUAACAUUUAUUGAGGAGGCUCAACAUGAUAAAGGCUAGAUAUUUAUGCUAACACUUAACUAGUUCCACAAAGCUUUGUUGUCUAUUUGAGCUCCACAGAAUUCAAGGAUUAAAGAAGACUAGCAGACGGAGGACAUCCUAAUCGCUGUCAGGGUGCUGCCGACAUUCAAAUACACCUCCGCCACCUGCUAGCUACAUCAGGAGAAAUUACGUUAAAAUCCAGCUUGGGGGAGAGCACCCCCAUUUAUCCAGCUAAGUGUUCUACUCAUGUUUAUACUUUACUCAAAUAAUAAAAAGAUGCAUAAUCAUAAAA